rnacentral:hammerhead_ribozyme from 1 species
NUACUGAUGAAGAGUCUCAAACUGGGACGAAACAGCUGUCAAGUAC